rnacentral:rRNA from 1 species
CAGCAGCCACGGUAAUACGAAGGGGGCUAGCGUUGUUAGGAAUUACUGGGCGUAAAGCGCACGUAGGCGGAUCUUUAAGUCAGAGGUGAAAUCCCAAGGCUCAACCUUGGAACUGCCUUUGAUACUGGGGAUCUUGAGUCCGGAAGAGGUGAGUGGAACUGCGAGUGUAGAGGUGAAAUUCGUAGAUAUUCGCAAGAACACCAGUGGCGAAGGCGGCUCACUGGUCCGGUACUGACGCUGAGGUGCGAAAGCGUGGGGAGCAAACAGGAUUAGAUACCCGAGUAGUCCCUGUCUCUUAUAC